GUAUUAUUGUUACAUUGUUCACAUUCACAAAACUUGAAUGGAUUUAAGAUGUAGCCACCGCAAGGAUGGCGUGAGUGUGCACUCUGCCGGCAUGACACCGACACUUUUUCAAUGAUGAUCCUUCCGCAGGUUCACCUACGGAAA
rnacentral:misc_RNA from 1 species